AUUGAACGCUGGCGGCAGGCCUAGCACAUGCAAGUCGAGCGGAUGAAGGGAGCUUGCUCCUGGAUUCAGCGGCGGACGGGUGAGUAAUGCCUAGGAAUCUGCCUGGUAGUGGGGGAUAACGUCCGGAAACGGGCGCUAAUACCGCAUACGUCCUGAGGGAGAAAGUGGGGGAUCUUCGGACCUCACGCUAUCAGAUGAGCCUAGGUCGGAUUAGCUAGUUGGUGGGGUAAAGGCCUACCAAGGCGACGAUCCGUAACUGGUCUGAGAGGAUGAUCAGUCACACUGGAACUGAGACACGGUCCAGACUCCUACGGGAGGCAGCAGUGGGGAAUAUUGGACGAUGGGCGAAAGCCUGAUCCAGCCAUGCCGCGUGUGUGAAGAAGGUCUUCGGAUUGUAAAGCACUUUAAGUUGGGAGGAAGGGCAGUAAGUUAAUACCUUGCUGUUUUGACGUUACCAACAGAAUAAGCACCGGCUAACUUCGUG
rnacentral:rRNA from 1 species